CGAAGCAUGUUUUCAGAAAAAUCAUGUGCAAUAACUCCUGAAUAGGUCCUGGAUUUGCUAAAUUUCCGGGAAAACAAACCACUCCCACAACUAACAUCUACAAGAACACCACCUUUUGUUGGUUUGAACAAUUCCUGAGCCAUCUUGAACUGCAAACUUUUAAAUUCAUAAUUAAGUCAUGUAGCAAUAAGCAUUCAUUUAUGGAAACUGAUAUAAGUGUUGUGUUACUGUGCUGAAGUGAAUUGUGGAACAUAGGGGUUAUCAUUAACUAGGCAUACAGACAUGAUAUGUGUUAAACAAAUGUACUAAAACAGGUAUAUUAUCAUCUCACAGAAUCUGACCACUUCAGUAAUAUAUUAUCUUCACUUCAAGUACUACCAAAUUGACUACACAAAUUUUAUUAGCUAUAAGAAUGCAUUAAGUCAAACCAGGUCCACCACCAAAGAAAAGUCGGCGAUCAUUGUAGAUCUGUGUCAAACAAACCAUUAAGUCAAUAUGUCCUCAAAUGUACACAACAAUAAAUAUUUCCCCCAAAACAUAAAUUCAUUCACCCAGUAUUUUACCUUUUUGGGCUUUUGAAACUGAACCAUACUCUGUUUCAGAUUAUUUAGAGGUCCUUCCACUAAACACUCGUGCUCCUGACCAAACAAAGAUACAAAAUGAGAUGCAAGUUGGCAGGCAGUAAAAGUGAUAAAUAGAGCCUAGUGAAGCCUGGAAAAAAUAAAUCCCCUGUUUCCUUGGCCACUUUAUAAGAGCUGGUUCUAUGUCCAUAUCCAUCUCCUCCUCAGGAUCCUCUUCAACCACAUUAGGAGGUUGCGGCAAUAAAAUGAUUCUAGCUUCAGAAACUGUAUAUUAAAUGUAACGAGAAAUAGAAGAGUGAACAUUAUAGAUAAAAGCCUGAAUAGGAUCUCAAAAAUGAACCAUACUUGCAAACACAAAGUUUGUAAUGAUGAACAAUACCGACAUCGGGGACAUCACAACUUCAGAUGCGACAGCUUCUGCUUCUUGGCUCAGUGCUAGUGCACAGGCUUCUGCUGAUGCUAAUUGCAAUGAAUUAUCAUCUUCCUUCAAGUUUGAAUGGCUGAACCCCUUGGCAGUAUCUUCCAAUUCGCUAAUUUUGCAAAGACUUCUAUUGCCUGUAGUCUUCACAUCAGCCAACGUAAUAGAGCGAGUUACUUUCUUUGAACUUGAUGAUUUCAGAGAAGGUCUGAGCACACUGGCAUUAGAUUGAGCUACUUUUCCGGUAUAGGAUCCCUUUUCAACUUCUGUAGCAUCCACACUAGGACAACUUUGGCAUUCAGAAAGGCUAUUAGAUACUUCUGCUAUAUGCAGCUUGUCAUUCAUGUUGAUUACAAUCUGUUAUAUGUACCAUCAACGUUAAGAGUCAGAAACAGGACCAAUGAAGUCCAUAACACUGGACUAAAGUAUCACCAAUAUUACAAGGCAUUUGGGUACCACAUGAUAAGCAACACAAGAUAAAUUUGUUAAAAGAAACAAAAAGUUUUACAACUUUAAAAUGUGAUUAAAGAAUACCUGAUUCCCACAAUUAUCUUGAAAUCAUCUUCUAAUGACCUUUUGAUGUAUUUUUGAAAAUCAAACUUACUUCCAGGUGCUAAAUGAACCUAUAAUUAAGAACAAUUGAUUAACCCAAUUACAAACGCAAUAUUGUUUAUAGAAAUUAUAGGUACUACACAACUUACUGAGAUAAAUUCGUGCCGCAUUGUUAAGUAAUCAGCUUUACGAACAGACCUAAUAAACUGCCGAAAGAAGCAUACCUGAAAUGGUUAAAUGCACCAGGGAAAGCAGUGUUUUGUAGUAAUAUAUACUCGACCAUUGGAAGUGCAAUAUCAACAGAGGCCACAUCCGACUCACUAAAAAAAUCACAUUUUAAUAAAACGAAAUUAAAAUAGACCUGGCCAGGAAAUAGGAAAGCAGAGGUGGGCUUGUAAUCCGAGAAAAAGGCAUCAUUAGCAGCAGUUUGAGAUACAACAGAGACGCUCAUAAAAGCCAUAGAUUUAUCCAAAUUUCUCAAACCAAAACCUCAAAUUCCAUGCUUGAAACCCAUGAAACAAACCGAACUAAAGCUCCUCAACGAUUCUGAAGCUUCAAAAAUGGCGAGAUUUUGAGGAGAAAUGAAAGGGAAAAGGAGAGAGGAACUCAUCUGCAUCAGCCCUAUCUUGUCGGUCAUAUUUCAGACAACGUCAUACCAAUCAACGUCAUACCGAAGUUGUGAGCAGCAUUAGCAAUUCCCGAUUCUCUACAAGCAUCACCAGCGACGGCGGCAUCGACACACCAGACUUCGACGAACUGGACAGGUCAAUGUUUCCUCCUUUUAGAAUAGCAGUCAUCAAAUCGAAUGGAGACACAGCUUGAGUAUCGCCGAUGAGGCGUUCGUUCGCACAGAACUGUGGCCAUUCUUUUAGAAUAUAUAAAACCAACAUCGCAGAGAGAGAAAGUACAGAGAUAGGAGAGAGAAGAAAGUAGAUCUAAACCAUGUUCGCAUAGAACUGUGGAGUUAGGGUUUGAGGAUUUUGAAAAGGGGAAGGAAACAAAGGAACGGCAAUGCCUCCGUGUUUUUUAAAGGAGGGUUUGAGG
rnacentral:lncRNA from 1 species